UCGGCCAUACCAUGCUGAAUAUACCGGUUCUCGUUAGAUCACCGAAGUCAAGCAUCAUUGGGCGUGGUCAGUACUUGGGUGGGUGACCACCUGGGAACACCGCGUGCCGUU
rnacentral:rRNA from 1 species